AGCGUUCCUCAUUUUUCUUCUCACUUUACUUAUUUUUUCCUCUUUUCAUUCAACUCAAUUUAGGUUUUCUAUUUACCAUUCUCCUUCUCAAUAGGGAGCCCUUGAAAUCAAUAAACUCUUAUACUAUUUCUAAUUGUCCAUCAACAUGUCGAUCAGAGCUUUGAAUUAGGAGGUUUGAACGAUUUGAAUCUUUCCUCAAAAACGAAAAUUAGGGGUUCAAUUUGUAAGUUGUUUCCCUUCUAGCUUCAAUUGCUUCUAGUUUAUGGUUUUGAUUUCCCAUCUCAAACCAUGGUCGCGCUUCUAUUACAGGUCUAUCUUCUAACAAACGAAGUAUAUUAUUGGUGGCUUUAUCUUCCUUGCCCUUUUGUUUUCAUAUCUUUUUAUUUGUUUCCUCCUUUUGUUCAUUUCAAUUAAUUGAAAUCUAUUUUUUUGUCUUUACGCUUGGGCUCAACGUUGCAUUUGAAAGUUCUUGGCUUUGAUUAGAUCGCAUUCGUAGCAAGAAGAGGCGUAACUAAGUCUUAGCUACGGACUUUACAUGAGCAGUGGCUAACAACUAAUAGUUAUAGCCACAAAUUUUUUAUGUUGUAGCAGUAUAGUAAAAUGUUCUUGCCACGAAAAAUACACUUUUUAGCAAGUGAUUUUAUUCUUUUGCCAUGACGAAGAAUAUUAGUAGCAAUAUUCAUAUUGUAGCCACAAGAUAUUAUUUUGUAGUAAAGAAAUUAAUUUAUUUGCCAA